rnacentral:lncRNA from 1 species
GGUCUCUGACUGCCGGGCCCUCGGCCGCCCCGGGCGCACCUCACGGGGGUCGGGGGUCGGCGGGGAGACUGGGCAGCGACUGGCGGCCGCAGGCCCCGCCCACCCCGCCCGGCUUCCAGCUCCUUGCUUUGGACCCGGGCUCCCGCCCCCAGCCCGGCAGGAAUCACUCACGGCGGCUGCCAGAACUUCCCAGCUAUUUUUAGGGCCAUUAAUCACCACAUUCCCCGCGUGUUCAUCAGUGGAAUGUCCUGAGUCACGAGCUCUGAUGGACAGCUUGCAGGGUGGCCCAGGAACGUGCGUCUGCAGACCUUUUCUGCUGGAUAUCCACUUGUGGUCCAGUCUACUGAGGACAGCUCUGGAAAUGCCGUGGAUGUCACGUGGCCAUUUGUGUUGGCGUUUUUUCCUUUGGUUAAGUCUCUGGAGAAGCUCCGACAACCCCUCCCUGUCCUUGCCAACUGGAUCGGGGGUCAGAACAAAACAGAACCCAAACCCAACUGUUGUAGAGUCCAAAUCUGUACUGUUCACUACACAACAGCCCAAUAAUUGGGGAGAUGAGUUGUGGCACAGAACAGCGACUUUACUCAGAAAGCCAGCAGACGGAGACAAGGUGGACCAGAGUCCCCAAGAGCGUCUCGGCGGACUUAGAAUUCAGGACCCUUUUAUUCUGAAAGGGGAGGGCGUUUGGCUGCUUGUGGUGGGCUUCUUGCUAUGGGACUCCUUUGUUCUCGCAGCUGCCCACAUAGGUCAGGUCACGAUGUUCCUGUAAACCUCCAACGGGAAGAUGUUAUCCUCUGUUCUGCAACUCUUUAUCUCUGUAUGAAUGAGAAAGUAUUAUGCCUGUAAAGGUCAGAGGCUUGAGAGUGGGCUGACCUGUGUAUUUCAAGCUGUGGCCAACAUUGCUAACUCAUAGCGAAAGCGCUGGAACACAAAGGUUAAAGACCUGAGGUGGAGUCGGAUCUGUCCUCCCCUUUACACUAUCUGCAGAGACGGCACAGCCGGGCCCCAGCCCCCUCCCGGGAGUCCUGCCCUGCCAGCGAGGUGCCCUGGUGGCUCCCACUGUGGGCCGUGUGGAGGGGGCACAGCCCCUGCGGGCAUCUGGUUGGCUCCCGGUCCUCCUGUCUCAGCCUGGCCUCUGCUGCGGGCUCAAGCCCCCUUCUCAUCCGGGGUCCCGGGGAAGUCACAGCCCCCGCUGGGGGGACAGGCAGGGGUGACACUGAAACACUGAGUCCCAGCCCUACCGGCCUCUGCGGCCUCCGGAGACUGUGCCUCCAAACCCAAGUGAGGAAGAGGCUGUGUCGCUUCCUGAGAUGAUGUGGUGGUGAGUGAGGACUUUGAAGGGACUUGGGGAGCACACGGCUUUACACAGCUUCACGUCGGGCACUGUCCUUAGGCUGAGCUUUUGCAGACAUUUUGAUCAAAGAUGAAUUAAAUUGUGUUCAAAUUUGCCCAAGUCCCCACAGUCCGGAGAUUUCUUUCUAACUUACUGGAAGUUAGUAGCAUCAUGUUCACUUUUAGUGUGUGUACAUUUUACAGGUAUGAAUAAAAAUGGUCACAAAACAUCCA